CCCUUAGAUGUUCUGGGCUGCACACGUGCUACACUGGCAGGUUCAGCGAGCUUCAUGCCCUGAUCUGAAAGGAAUGGGAAAUCUUUUCAAAACCUGCCGUGCUUGGGAUAGAUGUUUGCAAUUAUUCAUCUUCAACGAGGAUUGCCUUGUAAGCGCACGUCAUCAGCGUGCAUUGAAUACGACCCUGUAUUCUGUACACACCGCCCGUCGCUCCUACCGAUUGAAGUUUUCGGUGAGUUGACAGGAGGAUUUUUUUGAAACUGGUACGCCAGUGGAUUUUAGAUCCAAAUGCCAACGAAUCGAUGGCUUUAGAGGAAGGAGAAGUCGUAACA
rnacentral:rRNA from 1 species